UGCUAUUAACUGAAGCCUACUAACCGACACUUUAAGAAGACUUCGCUCCAGUUUUUCAGUUUCCCUGUAGGUGAUCCAGACAGGCUGGGUGCUGGAGAGGGCUCUGGACUCCUAACUUCACUUCUCGUCUGUGCAGUCGACUCAGAAGCAUCACUUCAGUACUGAUUCCGUGAUCUGGAACAUUUUGAAAUCCUACCAGAUGGGGCACAAGUCAUUGAGCAGUGGCAACUUCUGACUUCAAAGACUUUGUUCACCAGCAGACCCCUUGAUUACCUUUAUUUACAGCAUUUGCAUCUGUCAGUCUUUAAAGUGAUCUAAUAUGUAUUGACUAUGUAUUAGCUUAGUACAUAUU